rnacentral:rRNA from 1 species
UACAGAGGGGGCAAGCGUUGUUCGGAAUUACUGGGCGUAAAGGGCGCGUAGGCGGCCUUCUAAGUCGAACGUGAAAUCCCCGGGCUCAACCCGGGAACUGCGUCCGAUACUGGAAGGCUUGAAUCCGGGAGAGGGAUGCGGAAUUCCAGGUGUAGCGGUGAAAUGCGUAGAUAUCUGGAGGAACACCAAUGGCGAAGGCAGCACUCUGGGCCGGUACUGACGCUGAGGAGCGAAAGCGUGGGGAGCAAACAGG